UUUAAAAACUUCAAACCGAUUUUUUUAAAAAAAAAUUAUCAGGAACAGAUUUUCAAUUCUUAUUUUGUGCUCUCAUUUUCUCUUUUCUAGGGUUUCAACAGCAGCAACAACCUUCAUCAACCUCCUCCGCCUCUACUGCUGUGAAAUCCAAUCGCCAUCUGUUACUUCAAUUGAGCAUGAGAUUCAGCUCUUGCGGUUACCAAUCAUCUAAACUCAAAUACAUUUCUUUUUCCCGCAGUCUUGAUGCUUUGCUGAGGAAGAAGGUCCAUUGCAAUUUCAGCACCGGUUUUGCUACUCUUAGGUUUUCAAUCAUUUGAUUUUUAUUUUGAUUUAAACUUUGAUUUUGAUUUUGAUUUUGAUUUUGAUUUCAAUUUCAAUUUCAAUUUCAAUUUUGAUUUCAGUUUCAAUUUCAACUUUGAUUUUGAUUUUGAUUUCAAUUUUGAUUUUAUGAUCUUGAUUUUGCUUUUAUUUUUUAAGAUGCUUUCCAUUUUGAUUUUGACAAUGUUGCUUCAGCUGUUAAUGUAGCAGACGAGGUAUGUUUCAUUGUAUCAUUAAUUUAUUAUCAUUAAUUGUCACUUUUAAGUGCUAUUUCUCAUCCAAUAUCACUUAUCAUGAUGAAUUAUACAGGGAGGAGCUACUCAUGUAGCUAUAACUUGUAACCGAGAACUAGUGAAGCUUCCGGUAAUUUGCUUUUUUUGCCGAUUUAUAUCUCGUCAUUUUAAUUUCAACUAUAUAAUUUGUUUCUUUGCCGAUUUAUAUCUCGUCAUUUUAAUUUCAACUAUCAGCUCUUAUAGUCAUAUAUGAUAUCUGAAUGUUAUACAAGUGGACAUAUGGAACUAUAUGUUUCAUUUUAUAACACAGAAAUUGUUUUCUCCAUAGAACAAGUAUGAACAAAAGUAAGUCUAGUUGCAGCUUAUUGAGUGCUCACAGUUCCUAUAAGUAAUGUAGAUAUUAAGUUAGCUUUAGCUUCUUCUAUGGAGAUAUAAUUACUUGCUCUAUUAAAAAUUAUUUUAAAUUGACAAUGAAUGCAUUCCUAUAUACAUUGAUCAAUGAUUGAAUAUUUGAAUUAGACAUAUUGUUUUUGGCUUAAAAUGAUAAAAUGAUAGUUACAUUUGUGCUCUUUACUUGAAAAUCAAUUUUAGGUAUAAAGAUGCUUUAGAUUACAUGUCUAAAGUUCCAUGUUUUUAGAUCUUAAUGGAUAUUGUUUUUCUGUCAAAAAAGUGAAUCAAAAUUAUUUAUUAUCUUUUCUUUCAAAUGUUGGAUUACUUGUAUUUUCUGAGAAUAAAUUAGAUUUGGCCUCCAUCCACCCCAAUCAUAGGCGGGAUUUGAUCUUUAAAUCUUUCGGCGUAUUUUUCCUUUGAUGGCUUGAAGUUAUUCAUUGCUGACAGUAUGGUGACAGAGAGGGCACAUAUCUUAGCUAAGACGACUGUGCCAGAUUUCGCCUUCUUUCAAAAAAUUUGUAAGCAUGUUUGGUCCGCAGGAAAAGUAUAAAACUUGAGACUAGUCCUACAAGAGAAAUGCAACCCCAGGCUAUGAAGGUCUUCAAUUAGCAUUUCCUUCCCAUGCACACCAAUUCUUUCCCCAACAGCGUCUCCAGCAGGUUGGUGCUUCCGCAUUGGCGUUGUAUACAAGAGCUGCAAAGUACACCUUGCUGCAUUGGUUGAAAUCCCCUCUCUUUUUGUUGCCUUGAUCUUCGAGAACUGUGAACUUCCGUAUGCAAAUCAUGGACAUGUUAUUCUAGUUGACCUUUCUCUAAUCUUGUUUUAUCGUAUUAGCAGCUCGGAAAUUCACUGUUUGGUUGACAUACCAGCUGGCCAUAAGCUACCUUCUUUUUACAAUGGUGACAUGGCUACUUAUUUGAAUGGAUAACGACAAGAAGUCCAAAAUUACCGAGAUGAUCAGCGUAAGGUCCUGUUGGAAGUGGUGAAGGAAACUGUAUUGUCCCAUCUUUACAAGAAAAUGUCCACCACAUGUUUAAGUGGUUGGCUUGCUUUGUUAAACUCAUGAGAAAGAAAGCACGCAUAAACUGCUUCGAAGAGUUGCUGUCAGUGGUGGCGCUUUUGCUAGUAAAAAUGUAACCAAAGUUCAUAUUCCAAUGCAAUGAACUGCUACGGAGAAUAAAAGAGUGCCCUGCUUAAAUCCUUGCUGCGAUUAACAUGGACGAUCAAGAACUCACAGAAAGCAUGAAAAAGCUUUUGAUUGUCAUGCAAAGACUGGAUAACAAAAUUGCUCCGAUGAUAGAAGCAGAUGGAGAACUAAGAGGUAUGCUGAUAUAUACACCUCUAAGGUCUCGAAUUUCCUAAACUAUACACCAUUGAUGUACUUCAACUCGCAGGCAGAGACGUUGGUUCAAUUUUGAGUGACAGCUUCUCUAGUGGCAGAAAAGGCGCUCAUGUUUAGUAGUAUAAUCGUUAUUUUUGAUGAAUAUUUUGGUGAACAUUUUCUGUUUGUGAUGUAAUGGAUGGAUGGAAUAUUUUCCAAUUUUAGAUUUUAUGAAUAUUUUCCGUUUUUUAAA